AAAUAAUUAAACUUUAAACCCAAAUAAGAAAUAACCUUUAUAACACGAAAAAUACCAUAACCACCUAACUUUAAUAAAACACCAGCAAGAAUUAUUCUACCUGAAAUAGGGGCCUCUACAUGAGCCUUAGGAAGUCAUAAAUGAACCAAAAACAUAGGUAUGUUAACUAAAAAAGCCAAAAUUAUAAAUACAUAAAACAUAAAAUAAUAAGAACCAAAAUCAACCAAUAAAGGAAAAUAUAAAGUAUUAGAAAAAUCAUAAACCUUAAAUAAAACUAAUAAUAAAGGUAAUCUAGCAACCAAAGUAUAAAAAAUUAAAUAAACACCAGCCUGCAAACGCUCAGGUUGAUAACCCCAACCCAAAAUUAAAAGUAAAGUAGGAACUAAUCUAGCCUCAAAAAAAAUAUAAAAAGAAAGAAGACUUAAUCUAGCAAAUGAACAAUAAAGCAUAAUUAUUAAAAUCAAAACCAUAAAAACAAAAAAAAUUAGAAUGAUAUGAACUUAAAUAAACUGAACCUCUAGCAGUGAUUAUUAAAGAACAAAUCCAAAAACUAAGUAAAAUUAAACUAAAAGAAAAAUAA